rnacentral:rRNA from 1 species
ACUCCUACGGGAGGCAGCAGUGGGGAAUAUUGCACAAUGGGCGCAAGCCUGAUGCAGCCAUGCCGCGUGUGUGAAGAAGGCCUUGGGUUGUAAAGCACUUUCAGUCGUGAGGAAGGUAGUGUAGUUAAUAGCUGCAUUAUUUGUACGUUAGCGACAGAAGAAGCACCGGCUAACUCCGUGCCAGCAGCCGCGGUAAUACGGAGGGUGCGAGCGUUAAUCGGAAUUACUGGGCGUAAAGCGCAUGCAGGUGGUUGUUAAGUCAGAUGUGAAAGCCCGGGGCUCAACCUCGGAAUAGCAUUUGAAACUGGCAGACUAGAGUACUGGUAGAGGGGGUAGAAUUUCAGGUGUAGCGGUGAAAUGCGUAGAGAUCUGAAGGAAUACCGGUGGCGAA